rnacentral:lncRNA from 1 species
CUGCAUCAGACCGUACUCAGACAGGUUUCCAGUCUCUCUGUGAUCGGCGUGUGACACGAGCUGCUGAGGAUCGGGACAGGAUCUGACCAUCUGAUUGGCUGACGGCAGGAUGGUCAAAGGGUCAGCUGGUGUGACCUCACCAUUGUCCUAAGGCCCCUUGGAAGUUUGGUGAGGCCCUUUUUGUUUUUCGUACUCAAAAAUUUGAUAGUAAAUUUCACAUUAUGUUUGGUUUUUUUUUUAGUUGCUGCUUUAGACUGCUGUUACUAAUUGUUAUUUCUGCCAUGGUGUGUGUGUGUGUGUUUACAGUGUUAGAGGUGCAGUGGUGGGCAGAGUGAAUGGAGGUCUGUGGGCUCUAAGUCGCCCUCUGGUGGAGGAUUGUGAACUGCAGCUGCUGGGUUUGGACUCACUGGAGGGCAGACAGCUGCAGGAGGAGAUCACGCCGUGUUUGGGCGUCAUGAGGAGUGUGUAUUGUGUCUCCUCUCCAUGCGCCCCGUGCCCUGUCUGGGAGAGCCUGCCCUCUGGUACACCUGUCAAUCACACCCACUGACCGCCGCCCACCACAGUCGGUGACAGUGUUAUUUUGCCAUUAAAUAUAUAAUAUUGAAGUUUUUGUUUUCUUCUUAUACAUCAUCCGCCCAGAACUGCUUCCGUGUACAUCAGUGAGCGCAAGCUAGAUUCAAGUGAUUAUUACGUUUUAAAUAUGGAUAUUUUUCUUACAAAACCGCAUCGAGUCACCUCAGGGGGCCUUUGUUCACCCCCCGGAGCAGGGCUCUAGACUAACUUUUUUCUUCAGUGCACCAGGACAAAGUUAGGUGCACCCAAAUUUUCGACCGCAUCACAUUUAACACCUCAUUAUUACAAGUUUAAUGUUUUUUUUUUUUUAAAUCACUGUCUAGACAAUAUUGACUUGUAAAUGAUUAACUAACAAUCUGGUCAAAAUAAAGUUCUUUAAUUGAAGCACAAUUAUACAAGAAAUGUACAGUAACUUACUGAGAAAGUGUUGGUGCUUAAAGUGCUUCACUGAGCUGAAAUUUAAACUAAACCAUCUCAAGAUAAUUGAAAUAAAAAUAAAUAUAAAUUAAGUGUUUUAAGGGCUUCAAACUGAACAUCUCAUGGCUCGGUGUCUUAUGGACUAUCCUCCAUUGCAGUCACAUGCCCCUCAGAUGGCCAGCUCCUGUAGUUUGUUCUUCUUGAUCUUUGGUCUUGGCUAAACCAGCUGGACACACUCUCUCUAGCAGCAAACUCUUCCAGACUCGGCCCUCUACACUGAUUCUGAUCAGAUCUUCACUGUGUCUGAAUGAAGAGAUGCUCUAGUGUCUGAUCUGAACAGCUGAACACUCCCUAAACAGCUUAUACUACCUUCUUGACGUUGUGCAGCGAAACUGAAGUAAAGAGUCUGCUCCAGCUGGCCACACUGUGAUGGUCCUCACUGAUGGCUUCACACAGUUGAUGAGGGGUGAAUACUUAGGGGUGAGAAACAAAGAAAGGUGAUCAGACUGUCCGAGGUGGGGGAGGGGGGUCACGGUAUAAGCUCCAUCAAUGUUUGUGUAAACAUGAUCCAAAGUGUUGUCUCCUCUGGUGUGGCAGGAAACAUGCUGAUGGAAUUUGGGGAGCACUGUCUUUAAUUUGCAGUGAUUAAAAAUUCCCGCAACAAUAAAAGCAGCCUCCGGGUGAGCAGUCUGUUGUUUACUAAUGGCCGCAUGAAGUUCGUUCAGAGCAAGCUUGGCGUUAGCAUCCGGUGGAAUAUAGACUGCAGUUAUUAUGGUGGAAGUGAACUCCCGCGGCAGAUAAAAAGGUCUACACUUAACCUUGAGAAACUCUAGGUUAGCUGAGCAGUGUCUCGUACAGUGUUCGUACACCAAGCUUUGUUGACAUAAAUGCUAAAUCCACCACCUCUCCUGGCUGGAGUCAUCUGCUGUUCUAUCGGCCCAGAGCGUGUAGCGUCCGGCUAGCUCAAUAACAUUAUUAUUAUUAUUAUUAUAGAAUAGUGAGUGCUAAAGUUAGAGGGUCAAAUAAAGAUGGAAGAGAUGUGUUUUUAGCCGAUUCUUGAAGAUGGCUAAGGACUCAGCUGCUCGGAUUGAGUUGGGCAGGUCAUUCCACCAGGAGGGAACAUUUAAUUUCUUUGGGAUGGCACAAUCAAGCGACGUUCACUUGCAGAACGCAAGCUUCUAGAGGGCACAUAAGUCUGAAGUAAUGAAUUUAGUAAAGGGGUGCAGAGCCAGUGGUGGUUUUGUAUGCAA